rnacentral:rRNA from 1 species
UACGUAGGGCGCAAGCGUUGUCCGGAAUUAUUGGGCGUAAAGAGCUCGUAGGCGGCUUGUCACGUCGGGUGUGAAAGCCCGGGGCUUAACCCCGGGUCUGCAUUCGAUACGGGCUAGCUAGAGUGUGGUAGGGGAGAUCGGAAUUCCUGGUGUAGCGGUGAAAUGCGCAGAUAUCAGGAGGAACACCGGUGGCGAAGGCGGCGACCUGGUCCGAUACUGACGCUGAGGCGCGAAAGCGUGGGGAGCAAACAGG